AUUAUAUAUAUUAGGGAUAUUGUUACAAAUCGAAAGUUGAGUAGGGUCUUAAGUGGUAUAUAUAAGAUAUAAGACUCUCUAUUCAUUGCCAAUUAGUUUUGAGUUGGAAGUCCACAGUUUAAUACAAUAAACUUAAACGUUACACAAAUUAGAGGAUUUCAC
rnacentral:sRNA from 1 species